rnacentral:rRNA from 1 species
GACGAACGCUGGCGGCGUGCCUAAUACAUGCAAGUAGAACGCUGAAGGAAGGAGCUUGCUCUUUCUGGAUGAGUUGCGAACGGGUGAGUAACGCGUAGGUAACCUGCCUGGUAGCGGGGGAUAACUAUUGGAAACGAUAGCUAAUACCGCAUAAAAUUGAUUAUUGCAUGAUAGUCAAUUAAAAGGUGCAACUGCACCACUACCAGAUGGACCUGCGUUGUAUUAGCUAGUUGGUGGGGUAACGGCUCACCAAGGCGACGAUACAUAGCCGACCUGAGAGGGUGAUCGGCCACACUGGGACUGAGACACGGCCCAGACUCCUACGGGAGGCAGCAGUAGGGAAUCUUCGGCAAUGGACGGAAGUCUGACCGAGCAACGCCGCGUGAGUGAAGAAGGUUUUCGGAUCGUAAAGCUCGGUUGUAAGAGAAGAACGAGUGUGAGAGUGGAAAGUUCACACUGUGACGGUAUCUUACCAGAAAGGGACGGCUAACUACGUG